rnacentral:pre_miRNA from 1 species
AGUGGAAUUGCUGGCUCAUAUGGUAGUUCUAUUUUUAGUUUUUUGAGGAACUGCCACACUGUUUUCCACAAUGGAUGUACCAUUUUGCAUUGCCACCAGCAAU